UUUCAAACAAUGGAGAACCCUGAACAAGUAACAAGCUACUAAAACUACUAACGUCUGCUAAAUGUUGUGUGACGCGUCUAGUGUGUUGGUGUUAGUGUCUGUGUGCUUGUCACCUCUCGCUUUCAGCCAUCACCGCUGGCUAGCAGCAAUGCGAAAAGGGGGAAGAAAUUCUAAUGACUUCCCCUGCCAGUACAUAGCCUCUCCACAACAAGUCCUAUGCGAUGCCUCCACGUGGAAGCAGACGGAUACUGGGUAUCAUUUUGUCCCAGGCUAAGUUCGCAAGGACGCACGGGAAGAUGAGUCUCAAAAGCAUUGAGGAAUACUCUUAAGGCUGAACAGGAUCCUGAAGUGAGGAGGACUCCCUCUCUCAUUGAACUGCAUACAGCAGCAGAAAGCAGGAUUUCAGUUCCCCUUUGAUUCAGAAGAGGAACAACAAUGGAGGACCAAGGUCAUUAAUAUAAGAAGAGUCUAUUCCUGUCUGUGUUUUGCAGCAGAAGAAAGUUAAGACUGACUAGGAAUUCUAAGUGAGGAAGAGUCCCUUUCCCAUUCCGCUGCAGCCAUGAGGAGAAUACUCUAUUUUCAAGGAAUUUGACAUGGGAAGAGGGCCAGUACAUGCUGACCAAGUGAAGAAAAAGAAGAGUCUAUUGCACAAGCUUUGUACAGCAGCCAAUAUCUGAUUAAGGAGUGGGCAGACGGUUAUGCUGGCAUUGAUCCUGUUUCCAAAAGCAGAUCAACAUGAUUCCUCAAGACUACAAAGAGAUCAACUAUGGGACCUGAAAAUAAAGGCAGACUGCCAUCAAUUUCAUGUUUCUUUGAUAGCAGACAAAUAUGCUUCAACAAUAGUACAGAGAGUAAUUUAAGGUUUGGACUGCAAGUGAUGGACACACUAAAUAACUCAACUCAAUCAAAGAAUUCAAUGGAUAGUGCUGAGUACAUUAUCAUAUAUCUACAAAGUGAUGGGCACACUAAAUAGCUUAACUGACAGCUGAAUUCAAUGGACCGUGCUGAGAAGAUUGUUAUAUAACUACAAAGUGAUGGACACACUAAAUAGCUUAACUGACAAAAUUCAAUGGACCGUGCUGAGUACAUUGUUAUCUACAAAGUGAUGGACACACUAAAUAGCUGAACUCACAGAAUCCAAUGGACAGAGUUGAGUACCGUAAAUCUGGAAAUUUUUGCUGUAGAUAAAUUUUUAGCAAAUUUGCGAGUUCACUGCAUUCGCAAAAAUAUUUUUCUUAAAAAUAAUUCAACAAUAAGAAAAUGUAAGCAAAGUAGUGGUCAUUCGCAAAAUUUUGAAACGUAAAAAUUAAUCAACAGCAUUUUGACCCAGAUUCGCAAAAUAAAAUCGACGUAAAAAUUUCCAGAUUUACGGUAUGUACUAAUAUCUACAAAGUGAUGGACAUAGUAAACAGCUUAAUUCUCAGGAUUCAGUGUACCAUGCUGAGUACAUAACUCAUUAAGGAUAACUCAUAUGACAUCCACAGCAGAUCACUCAAAGUUGUGUUACUACAUUAUUGUACAACUUUUCAUAUACUACGUUAUUUUUUCUGAAUGUUUUUUUUUGUAUCUGUAUAUUAUAUUUUUUAAUUUUAAAAAGUUAAAGAUUGGAUUUUUAAGCAAAAAUAUCAAGAGAGGUAAAUCAGUGCUUGUCUGAAUAUCUAAGCUUAAGAGAAAGGGAGGUAAUUUUUUUUAUUAUGAAUCCUUGUCCAGAGCAUAUGCUUUCUCCCCUUGGUCCAAUGUGGCUAAUACUUCUCUCACAGAGUGCCACUGGUCAAUGGAUGUGUAGUGACCUUGAACAAGUUUCAAGGCCAAGAGUCAAGGUUAAAACCCCUUUCAGCUACUUUACAUUUUUAUGUUCAUUGCUGAAAGUGGGACCCUUUGAGAUGGCCACCAUCUCAAUGAUAUCUAAUUUUAGUUUGAAAAUUGCUAGAAAAGAUAAAGUGAUCUCAUUGUAACAUUAUUAUUUUUUAGUGUUUUAGAUUUUAAAUAAAUAUAACAGUAUGCAAAA